rnacentral:rRNA from 1 species
AUACAGAGGGUGCGAGCGUUAAUCGGAAUUACUGGGCGUAAAGCGCGCGUAGGCGGCUUGUUAAGUCGAAUGUGAAAGCCCCGGGCUCAACCUGGGAAUUGCAUCCGAUACUGGCAAGCUAGAGUAUGGUAGAGGGUAGUGGAAUUCCAGGUGUAGCGGUGAAAUGCGUAGAUAUCUGGAGGAACAUCAGUGGCGAAGGCGACUGCCUGGAUCAAUACUGACGCUGAGGUGCGAAAGCGUGGGGAGCAAACAGGAUUAGAAACCCCGGUAGUCC